GCAGUCUCCUCUCUGCCUAGAAAAUAGUUAUCCUGCUGUCAUAAAUAAACAGGACGGACCAGGAAUGAGUAAGGUGCCUGGGAGGAUUUCUGGGAGCCAGAGGCCAGGGCCUUUCUGCUGCACAGGAGAAGGAUGGCCACGUUUCAUUCCAAACCUGGCCUUCACAAAGGAGAGAUGAGGCUCUCCACUCCUUCAGGUUGGAUAUUAGGAAAAAAAUUCUUCUCAGAAAGACUGGUGGGGCAUUGGAACAGGCUGCCCAGGGAGGUGGUGCAGUCACCGUCCCUGGAGGUGUUCAAGAACCACGUGGAUGUGGCACUGAGGGACGUGGGCAGUGUGCAUGGUGUGAUGGGCUGCUGCUUGAACUGGGUGAUCUUAGAUGUCUUUUCCAACCUUAAUGAUUCUAUGACUCUAUGAUUCACCUCCACUGCUCACACAGAGCAGCAGAGACCCAGCCCAUGCUCACAGUGAUUUCCCCACUCCAGACCCCCUAACACAGCCUCAAUGGAGGCAGAGGCAGAGACACAGCAGCAGGGAGUCUGCAUGCCCUCACCCAACACUGCUCCUCCUGCCUGCGUUGCCUGUCUCAUAACUCACUAUCCUUUCCUUUUCCCCAGCUUGUCUCUCCAUGGCCCAAAUGGUCGGGAUGUGUGGGCAAGGGGCUCUCCUGUGUCUUUGAGGUGAAACCACAGCACAUCUGAAAUCCAGCACCAUGUGCUUGAAAGCCCAGACUUCCUUCCCUGUAGCCUCUCAGGGCCUGGAGACUGCUGCCCAGUUCCUGCAGCACAUUCUGAAGCUUACAGUGUUUGGAUGUUCCAGCACCUGAGAAGACAAAAUAAAACCUGAUUCUGCCUCAAAACUGAGAAGAGCUGGGACGAGAGGAGCAGCAAAAUCCCAGGAGUACUUUCAGGACAGCGGAACCAUGGAAGUCAGUAAGUGUGAAAGGAAGAGGUGCAAUGUUAUUUCAAGACUUGGACAGGUGUCUGUUUAUCAGACAGGCUGCCGUGGCCCAGACCCACCCCUGCACGGUGUGCUCUUAUCAUACUUUGCAUCAUAUUUGUCCCCCUGGGAUUGCCCCACCAUUAAACUAAAGCCUUCAGCUCCACGCAACUGCAUAUUCACGCGAAUGACUUCCAGCUGUGAGCAGGAUCACCUGCUCAUACUGUGGUUGCACGACAUAUACCAGCUGCUGUGUGCAUAUCCCGGAGCGGGGAGAGGGCGUUCGUGUUUCAACAGUGUUCAGGGUUGACUGUGCCUCUGAAUUAAAUACUUCCUCCCUUCUAUUGAAACCAGACCUCUUGCACCUUCAGUUCUUCAACAAUCAAAAAUAAAAAGGGGGCUGGAAGCGUUUUUACUGACA
rnacentral:lncRNA from 1 species